CAGCAGCCACGGGAAUACGAAGGGGGCUAGCGUUGUUCGGAUUUACUGGGCGUAAAGCGCACGUAGGCGGUGGUUUAAGUCCGUUGUGAAAGCCCUGGGCUCAACCUGGGAAUUGCAGUGGAUACUGGGUCACUAGAGUGUGGUAGAGGAUAGUGGAAUUUCCGGUGUAGCAGUGAAAUGCGUAGAGAUCGGAAGGAACAUCUGUGGCGAAGGCGACUAUCUGGGCCAACACUGACACUGAGGCACGAAAGCGUGGGGAGCAAACAGGAUUAGAGACCCGAGUAGUCCCUGUCUCUUAUAC
rnacentral:rRNA from 1 species